UCCCAUAUUGUCUAGUGGUUAGGAUACCUAGCUCUCACCCAGGAGGCCCGGGUUCAAUUCCCGGUAUGGGAA
rfam:Daphnia pulex DAPPTscaffold_1157_Cont12065, whole genome shotgun sequence.